GGGCCCUACGGGAGGCAGCAGUAGGGAAUCUUCCACAAUGGGCGAAAGCCUGAUGGAGCAACGCCGCGUGGGUGAAGAAGGUCUUCGGAUCGUAAAACCCUGUUGUUAGAGAAGAAAGUGCGUGAGAGUAACUGUUCACGUUUCGACGGUAUCUAACCAGAAAGCCACGGCUAACUACGUGCCAGCAGCCGCGGUAAUACGUAGGGGGCGAGCGUUAUCCGGAAUUACUGGGUGUAAAGGGAGCGUAGACGGCGAGGUAAGCCUGAAG
rnacentral:rRNA from 1 species